GCGGCCGUGGCGGAAUGGCAGACGCGCUAGGCUUAGGACCUAGUAUCUUCAGAUGUGGGAGUUCGAGUCUCUUCGGCCGCACCA
rnacentral:tRNA from 1 species